CACGUAGGGCGCAAGCGUUGUCCGGAAUCAUUGGGCGUAAAGCGCGUGUAGGCGGUUCGAUAAGUCUGCUGUGAAAGUCCAGGGCUCAACCCUGGGAUGCCGGUGGAUACUGUCGAGCUAGAGUACGGAAGAGGCGAGUGGAAUUCCCGGUGUAGCGGUGAAAUGCGCAGAUAUCGGGAGGAACACCAAUUGCGAAGGCAGCUCGCUGGGACGUCACUGACGCUGAGACGCGAAAGCGUGGGGAGCAAACAGG
rnacentral:rRNA from 1 species